GACGGAGGAAGCGACUCCGACAGAGGAACACGAUCUCCCCCGAUCUCCCCCGCUCCUCGCAUAGCUGGACGUCGUCGCUUUGCGACGACGCACUUUUAAACUCUGGACUGCAGCACGCACACAUUGGAACAAUGUAGACUGUAGGAGGCGAGACUGCGGGGGAUGCUGCACUUAACCAGCACCCUAUGGGUUAAUGGUACAAAAACUUUGAUCAUUCUGAACCUUUGAUGUAUUAUCGUUGGUUAGGAUAUGCAUCAGCCAACCAAUGAAAAUAGCAUUGCAUUAAUUAGUCAUCUUGGAAUCGCAACUUCUCUUAAAGUUCUACCGUGUCACGCUAUAGUAGAAGAUACC